UGAGCCGGCCGGGCGAUCGCGGCUGACAAACUGCGCCGACAGCUGGUGGGCGCAAGUGAAAGUCGAGGAAAGUCCGGACUCCACAGAGCACGGUGGUUGCUAACAGCAACCCAGGGCAACCUGCGGGCAAGUGCAACAGAAAGUAGACCGCCACCGGGCAUGCUGCGAGCAAUUGCAGUCCGCCCGGCGGUGAGGGUGAAAGGGUGCGGUAAGAGCGCACCAGCAUGUCAGGUGACUGGCGUGGCUAGGUAAACCCCAUCGGGAGCAAGGCAUCACGGCGCGCCCCGCUGCGCGCCUGUUCGAAUGUUUGAGGGCUGCUCGCCCAAGUUCGAAGGUAGCUGCUUGAGGCCACCAGCAAUGGCUGGCCCAGAUGGAUGAUCGCCCACGCACCGCACUGGUGCGGGACAGAAUCCGGCUUAUAGGCUGGCUCAUUCA
rnacentral:RNase_P_RNA from 1 species